rnacentral:rRNA from 1 species
UACGUAGGGUGCGAGCGUUAAUCGGAAUUACUGGGCGUAAAGCGUGCGCAGGCGGUUCGUUAUGUCCGAUGUGAAAGCCCCGAGCUCAACUUGGGAAUGGCAUUGGAAACUGGCGGGCUGGAGUGUGGCAGAGGGGGGUGGGAAUUCCACGUGUAGCAGUGAAAUGCGUAGAGAUGUGGAGGAACACCGAUGGCGAAGGCAGCCCCCUGGGCCAACCACUGACGCCUCAGGCACGAAAGCGUGGGGAGCAAACAGG